AACGACUCUCGGCAACGGAUAUCUCGGCUCUCGCAUCGAUGAAGAACGUAGCGAAAUGCGAUACUUGGUGUGAAUUGCAGAAUCCCGUGAACCAUCGAGUCUUUGAACGCAAGUUGCGCCCGACGCCUUCUGGCCGAGGGCACGUCUGCCUGGGUGUCACGCAUCGUCGCCCU
rnacentral:rRNA from 1 species